GGAAUCAUUGAUGGCGAAUAAAAACUCUCUAUAGCGAUUUAUUCGCAGCGUUUAUUCCACGGAACAGUUACUCGGAUAAGCUUUCAUUUUAUUGACUCUUGGUUGAGCCUAAUUCGGUCGUGUAAUGGGGACCAUCGCUCACUUUGUAACAGAAACUUUUCGUUCGUUGACAUUCUAUACCUAUAUUCUAUACAUUCCAUACGUAGGUGACAAGUAUCAAAGAAAAUAAAUAAAAUUCUGGAAUUUCGAUCAAGUUACUUUUACAGAAAUGUUUAAAUGUAUGGGUCUGACAGUGAACGUAUUGAAAAGUGUGUAACUUGAAGUUUCAACAGAGAAGAAGGGGGAUACACUGAACAAUCUUAACAAAUAACGGAUCAAGAGCUGCUCUCUUUUUAUUUGUCGUUGGAGAUUUUUCAUCUAGAUGUGAGUUCUGUCCAUCUGUGCUUCGUACCCAAAGAGAUGGUCCAGUUUGACCUCGGAUUGUUAUCUGUCCCCUGAGAAAGGUCCACGUGUGGCACCCAGUUCUCUCUACGUAAGAAGAUGGAGAGACCUGGAAAAAGAAGGAAACGCGACGAUCUUUCGACGCAUUUUAUUAAAAAUUCCGUUGUUUGGCAGCGAGGGGACCAGAUUAGAGCGAAACGUGUUACUUAGCGACGAUCGAGGAGGUGUGGACAGACCGUGGCUACGAUUUAAUUAACGACGUCAGCUGUGAUGGAGGUUUGUCGCGUUGCAGCAAAGUUAUUGCGAAUUCCUGAAGAAUUCUUCGCUUCAUCGCCGUUAUCAAGCUUUUAACGCGAUAUAGCCUAAUAAAACUGUUUAUGGACGAAUACAUAUGAAGAUGGAAUGUAUAAAUUUGUAAUGUGGAAGGUCAUCUACCCAACUUUUAUCUUAACUAGGGAUAAAAGCCUGUAAAUAAGGCCACCUGAAUAAUUAUCGCGAUCGUAACGUGUUCGUCGAUCGAGGAUUUGAAAAACGACGAUACGUGAACCGAUUUGCAACAGUUUUAAACGAGAAACGAACUUUUCUACCAAGUCGAUUGUAAUUUUCGUCGCGAUUCAACCGAGCAAACUACUUUUUAUCGAUUGCUGCAUCGAACUACGUGGAAAGCUUCGGAACGUUUACCUUGCCUCCGUCCAUGAUACGAGUAUAUUGGGUCAAAUGCUCUUAUAAGUCAGCGCGAAGAGGCGACUCGUUGGUGGCCUCUCCUCGAGACCUAACUGUUCGAUCCCAUCUAAACAGGUGUUCGUGAACUCACAGCUGAAAGGUAUCGUCCAAGUGGACAUUAUUUUUUUUACCAAUGCUCGACAUUAGGUUUUUCUCCAUCAAGACCUUGUAUUACAGUUUUACAAGAUAAUUGUAAAACAGCCUCGUUCCACGAACCUCGCUCUUCAGCUUUGCUCUGCGUGAUGCAAUUUUUCUUUUACUACUCGUAGUUCGUUUUUCGUUAGAUAAAACAGCGGUGCAUGUUGUUUCCAUUACUCUUCCAGACUCUGUUCAUUGUUCGUUAGUUCAGAGUGGAUGUUCACGAUGAAAGAUAUCGGUUUUGAAGAAACGCAGCUGCGACCUACCGACUCUCGACUAUGACGACUCGAUCAACGUCCCAAUUUCAAGCUUUCCUUUUCAGGCACAUUUCAUUUUCGAAGCAACAAAAAAGAAAUCGAUUCUUUCGAACCCAAAAACGAGGAUACUUCCCCACAGAAAUGCAGCGAUUUUAAGCAAGGAAUUUCCUUUCGUGAAUCGACACGUUCGUUCGACGUCAAUCGAACAAUACCAAUUUCUCCAAGCGAACGAAUCAAUUAGUCGCGGCCAAAAUCACUGGCAGACGGCGCAGGUAAUUUAUUAAUUAUUCCACGGUGCGAAUAACGCCAAGGAAAAAAGGGUAGAAAUACAGGUGUCCUUUCACUUCGGUGAACACCUUGACAUUUGAUGGCGACGGUUAUUCGACGCUCGAAGACAGGAUGGAAAGUUGUCGAUUUACUUCUCGUCUUCGUCAGCGCACCCCUCGAAAAUCUCCACCAGAAUUCGAUUCCUCGAUAGCGUGCAUUUUUCGCGGACGCCGAAAUUUGCAUCGCCAAUUGGAUCUCGUGCUUCUAGGUCCUCUCUCGCCUUCGAAUUUCUCUCCGAAAUUCACGUUCUUUGAUUUUAUCCGACACCUCGACUCCUACCGUUAAGGACAACGACACGAGCCGAGUUUACGAUGCUAACGUCACUUCCAGAAUUUUCAAUUUACUCGUUUUCGACCAGGAAGACUUUAUAUUCUAAUUAGGUCUCGGACGAUUCCAAGUUUCUGUCCGGUUUUCGAUCGUUGGGUCGUUCGCGCGCAAGAAAGUCGAAUUUUUAACACCGUUGUGAGUGGUACUAUGGAAAUUAUAUGUGAAAAGUAUGCAAAAUACAGUUUUUUUUUUUUUUAAUAAUAUUUCGUGUAGAGAUAACGUAUGCGGUCUAGUCUUCGUCGGCGCAUGCCAUCGAAUAAAUUCAAUUUUUCUGUUUAUCAAUUUUUGGGUCAAACACUCGUUCGUGACGACUUUUUCAAAAUUUCCAUAUAAAUCUAUCCAAGUGAAGGUCAACGGACCAGCGAGGAAGUCGCUGGUGUUAAAUUUCUACCGUCUCUGGCUCGGACUGAUUUGUUCGAAGGUGCCAAAAUCUUUCGAUUCGACCAAAAAUUGAUGAGCUAUUACCGAAAUAUAAUAGCGAACCAUGGAGAAAACCGGCUUUAAGAGCGGCUCGUAAAGCGAUUAGCUCGCGUUAAUAGCCGCUAGAUGCCUGUCGGUCAAUUAGGCUCGCUUGUUCGUGCCCAUGCAGAAAAGAUUCUGACAUCCUUUGAUCCGCUAUUAAUAACUAAUUAUACGAAAUAUUUUGCGGUUUAUCGAACGAUCUGCCAGGUAGAGUCAACAGACGAUCAGGUUUCCGAAAUUGGUCUCGUAUUUCACUUCUGACCGCUCGUAAACGUGUUCUGCGGCGUCCCGUAAAUCAAUUAUUAUUUAUGGCGAAAAAGAAAUUGAAUGAUUCUUUCGAAGUAAAUCUACGAGGAAGGUGAUAAUCGAUGUAUCAAAUGAACACCUUCAGGAAUCGUCCAACGUUUGUCGAAAACUAUUCUACCUUUAAUAUUGUCCAAGACGGUAAAAUAAUCAAGCUAGUUUGCGUAAAUUCCGAUAAGCUCGUAACAACUUACAAAAAUGUUCAGAAAACUUGGUGCGCGGUUCAGCGCGUCAAACUUCGAUUAUCGUUACUUAAAACGACAUCUUCCGUUUCCCACGAUCGAGCAAAGUUGGUAUAUUCCAGUUUUAGGAUCUAUUUAUCAUUCUAAUCACGUUUUUAGAUUCCCAUCUGUGGGAGAUCUAUGACAGUAUUCCACGAUAAUUAUCGCUCAACGGAAGUGCUCAAUUAAACUCUGCAAAUUAAUUUUAUAACACUGUCUGAGCAUGCGUAUGAAAUUAAUUAAAUACCGUUCGUUUAUCAUGUAAGUUACAAGCACACGAUAUCAAAGCGCACGCCCCAGAUUCAUUUUCCAGAUGUUCCUCCCGAUAUCCAGCUGCGUAACGCGAUGAAAAUUCCUUGGAACAUAUUAUCAACCUCGUCAUUCCUUAUCUUAAUCUUUAUUAUGGUCGACUUUAACUUAUGGCAGGCUACUUAUUACGCUUAAUAAAUAAAAGUCGCGAGAUCGUUGAAUAGAGAGAUUUUAAUAAGGCCGUAGACGUAACGACGUUUCGUACAAUAAUUUACACAAUUACCGCGGUUACGGCUGCUUUAACGAUAACUGUUAAAUCUACGGAGUUAUUAUAGUCUGUCGCGUUAAAUGGUAGUACGUAGUGCGGCGCUUCCAUUGCUGGCGACUCGAGAUACGAGUCAUCGUAGAAUAAAUCGUUACGUUUAUGGUCUCUAUAAGCGAUGGCGAUACAAUGGCGCUACUUUAGCGGGAGCCAAGGGACAAUGGCAUCGAUUAACUCUGAGUGGUAUUGUCCAAGCUUCGCAGAAGUUUGCUCCUCGCCUUUGGAGCUCUUUGGAGCUCCUACGAAUAGCUACGAGAGCUAAAAAAUUUCGACGAUUGUUCCACAAAGACGAAGCAACUGUCUAACAAAAUUGAAAAUCUAAAUGCGUCCGUUGCUACUCGUGUAAGCAAUUCAUCAUCGUUUCUCCAGACGCUUAUCGCGAGACGAGCCUUCGCGAAAUUUGAAAUUACCGCAAUUGACAAUUCAAUACCCUGAAGAGUGCUUCCAUAUAGUGCAUCGAACACGUUAAAUAUAGCAUUGCGACUAUGAUGAUAUCAGAGUCUCGCGAAAAUAGACCUACUAAAUACUAUCUGUCAUGUUGCAUCCGCAAUCAAUACGUCGUUUGCCCGUCCCGACAUCGCGUAUGUCACACGAAUCAGAAGCAAUAAAUCUCUGUCCGCGUCGCUGAGUGUGCGAUUUACUUCUGCGAUCACGCGCAACUUAUGGCUAUCUGACACACGGGCAAAAAUAGAUCUUCGUGUCUGUGAUAUCUUACCUUUCCAGGCUUUCUCGUUAGGCUAUAUUAACGAGCAAUUCGCGUGCGAUAGACGUCAACGUUUUGUUCAGGCUAAAGGACUCGGAGAACAGGAAAGACCGCAAAUACGUUUGGUCGAUGGGGUCGUCUUCCGCGUGGAAAACGGUUGAAUUAAAAAAAUAAUCGGAUGCAUCAUCCCAGAUGGUCCUGUUGACGCCGCAAUAGCGUCUCCUUUCACAUCUACAUCAGCAUCGAAUCCCUCUACGAUUCCUAUCCUGCCACUCGAUGCAAAUUCACUUGAAUGGCUCUCCACGGAAGCACAUCUCGACAGCUCAGAUUUGAUCACUCUUCUGCUCACCGGGAAUUCUCGCCGCGCCGUCUCGAACCGACUGCUCCCAUAUUAAACCGAGUCUUUAAUUUACCCACCACUGGUCAUAUCCACUAUUAUUCACACUGCGUCCGAUCAAAUCAGCAUAACUUUAACGUUUCCUCAGCUGCAAACUUCCAGAACUACGCUGAAUGUCGUUUUUCAUCGAGCCGUCCACGUCGUUUUCUUCACUCGACAAGGCAUUUCUUCGUUAUAGAGCUUGGUCGAAAUUGUGGACAAUGGCAAUCGAGUUGGAUGAAUUAAGGACCAGGUCGCCUGGAGAUUGCUCUAGCCUUCUCAAAGGUCAUUCUCGAGAGGAACAAUGGUGUUUCACCUUGCACGGUUCUGAUAAGAAAAACAUUUCCAAAAAGUAGAAGCUUUGUUAGAUGUGAACCACGAAGAAAGAACACGAUUUUCGAUGGAAAUUGAAACAUUGGUUUACGCGCGUUUACUCAACGAUGGUAACAAAUGCUAAUUACGAGUUAUUUCAAGGCACGACAGUAUCUGUGAGUUGGGAUAUCUAUCAUGGGAAGGCUGUCAGGUCGUGUAUUUCCUCGUCUGUACAUGUCUGUUGAGAAAGGAAACAACGGAAAAUAGAAAGCAGUGAGAGUAUCGAAUUUUCUUGCCUGGCGUGUUAAUAAAUGGAAUGGAAGUUGCAUGGAUGAUUAAUGGGUUUCAUUCAUUAUCGUUUUAACCUGAUCAAGCUUGGUGAAAAAAUACUGCCAAAAUGGUCGAAAACAAGUUGAUGAUGAAUGGCCCUCUAUUUUUUCAGAAAACGUACUUAUUUGUUUAUGCGAUACUAUCCAUCUUAACUCUGACUUUCAGACUAACACGAACCACCUAAGUAGUUAACGAUUCAAACGUUAAACGAAGAAUGUACUAAUAGAAUAACGUAGAAAGCAAGAGAAGGACAUAAAAGAGGACGGUUAUAUCGUUAGUACAAUCUCGCAACGACAUGCGUGGAGCUGACUGAUUAUGGAAGGAGCGAAUCGUUUACCAACAAAUUGUGUUCAGGCUAUGUCGCUGUACCAGCGAAGGUACGAACCUGAGGAUCACGGAGACGGGGUUAAUGGACGUGGACGUGCCCUCCGAAUUUCCCAACGUCGACGAUAAACUAAUUUCCGAAGCGUCGAGACCUCGACGACCCCCCCCCCCCCCCCCCCCACCCAGGACUAAAUGUUACGAGAUUCUCAUCGUGAAAAGUGAAACACUCAUACGUCCCGGCACUGGACGCUGAAACAACAGAGGGAACGGACAAGCGUCAAAUUAAAUUCGAAAUGCUUCUGGCAUUUGUUGGUUCCGUAAUAGGAGAACUUAACGCGCGCGGCACGUUGCGAGAGCUUCGAUGGGGCGCCUGAUGAUACGUUGUAAACUGCAAUCGACCUCGUGAACUUAAGCGUUGCGCUCGUACACACGGGAGUUUAUUGCUCAUGCCGACAGCAUCGCAACCCGCUUGAUAUUAAUUGGAACCGGUUGUACCGCGUUGCGAGCGUGUUCCAGCACCGAGCGCAGAAUUAGAGCAAGGAUUUUGAAGGAACUGACGAAUAUCCGUUCCAUGUGACACCGGUCAUUGAUUCCUGGACAGCUUAUUCUGGUAAACGAGUAUAAUACGAUUAUCGAGUGCUAUCGGAAGUCGCAUCGAUUAAUUAACACCGGCUACACGAGGUACUCGGUUCGUCCUAAACGAAAUUCUGCGUUAGUAACACGCUACAUAAACUAAUAUUCAAUGUAACGAUCGAGAUUUCAAUUCCGAGAUAUCCUCGAUGAGUUACGCGGGCGGAAUCUAGCAGA